rnacentral:sRNA from 1 species
UCUGACUGGUUUUUCUCUGUGUAUGUGUGUUCAUCAUUUUGUUGAUCUUUCUGUGAAUCUUCUCAUUGAAGAUAUUGAAUCAGUGCAUCAGGCUCUGUGUGAGGUGGAGGUGUGCACUGCACUUCUACACACACACCUUGAGAUCCUGGAGUCCUUGGUGCAGGCUGAGUUUUAGUUUCCUUUUUGUUGCAUACAGACAUUUCUGAGAGUUGUUGGUUUGAGUGUUUUUGUUGGUGUACACCUUUUCUUUUGUUUUUGCGACAUUCAUGUAUUUUUAGAAGUCGGGCAAAGCCCUUGCAGU